rnacentral:tRNA from 1 species
GUAUAGUGGCUAGUACGUCAGCCUGUCACGCUGGAGACCCGGGUUCAAUUCCCGG